UACAGAGGUCUCAAGCGUUGUUCGGAUUCAUUGGGCGUAAAGGGUGCGUAGGCGGCGCGGUAAGUCGGGUGUGAAAUCUCGGGGCUUAACUCCGAAACUGCAUUCGAUACUGCCGUGCUUGAGGACUGGAGAGGAGACUGGAAUUUACGGUGUAGCGGUGAAAUGCGUAGAUAUCGGGAGGAACACCAGUGGCGAAGGCGGCGACCUGGGCCAACAUUGACGCUGAGGUGCGAAAGCGUGGGGAGCAAACAGG
rnacentral:rRNA from 1 species